CUUGAAGACGACGAGGUUGAUAGGUUCGGGGUGGAAGCACAGCAAUGUGUGGAGCUGACGAAUACUAAUCGGUCGAGGGCUUAUCCUAA
rnacentral:rRNA from 1 species